rfam:Schistosoma mattheei strain Denwood, Zambia genome assembly, scaffold: SMTD_contig0003841
AUCCAGGUGACGAGUCUCAAAUAGGACGAAACGCGCGUCCUGGAU